GUGAAGUGAAACGCCAGCAGUAGGUGCGUGUGGUGUCUCCUCUUGAUUUUACGCCAUUCCAGCCUUAAUACAGCGUUCCAGUGUCCUCUCCGCUCCUCAGCGCAGGGCAGCCCACGCCAGGCAGAGACAAACCCUCAGGGCACCACUUCUUUCCAGGGACGGAGGCAAGUAAGGAUAUUAGGCGGCGCUACAUUUGUUCUCCUUAGGGCCCGAGGCUUCACUGGGUGUUGAUUCGAACCAGCGAGUGAAGUGAUUGUUGUCUUGUUCAUGAAUCAUCAUCGCCCUCCUUCACUGCAGGUGGGAGACGCUCGCACAAAAAAAAAAAAAAAAAAGAGUAAGUAAAAAAAUAGCCUCUUUGGUGACUUUUUAUAGAUUUAUUUUGUCAGUUGUUUGUUUAUUUUUUA